GGAUUCUGAGGACUCGUUUAGUGAAACCAUCCAUCUCCUUAUCGUUAGCUUCCCUCUUAAGGUUUUUAGGAAUCUUCUCCUUUCUUUUCCUUAACCUUCUCCCUUCAGAUUCUUGUUCUUCUUGAACAGAUUCUGAUGAACUAUUCAAAGGGUUGGAUUUUGGUUCGGGUGGGUUUGCUAAUGGUUUAGGUGGUGGUCUGAGUGCAUUGAUGUAAUCAUUAUCGAUUGAGGGUAACCGCACUCGGUAUGUCAGAGGUGCCUGUCG
rnacentral:lncRNA from 1 species